rnacentral:rRNA from 2 species
AAAAGCGUAACAAGGUUUCCGUAGGUGAACCUGCGGAAGGAUCAUUA